rnacentral:lncRNA from 1 species
UUGCCAUAAUACUGUACUGUUUGUUUGACUUUUUUUCAGUGUGGUUACUGUUACUUCAUCCCUGAAGCGUUUCCAAGAGAAACAAGGGAUUGUCCACAAGAUAAUCACCGCUGUGUCUGACUCCUCUGUGUGUAGUAUGGUGUGUCACUAAGAGAGAGGUAUUAUCUACAUGCAGCCUGUGAACAAAAAUCAAGAAUACCCGCUGGGGAUAAAACUUUAUGUGCAAAUUGUUCUGCAAAUGGAUGGUUUCUCCGGAAAGAGUUCCUUGCUGCCAGGUAAAAGAAGCCCUAUGUCUUUUCCAGCAUCUACUCUCUUGAAUGUGAUGAUACCUUCAACACCUUCAGUCUCUUCAGAGGUAGUUUAGGAGAAGGCAGUUCAUGAUUUCUGAACUGGUUCACCUGCACAGCGGGCACCAAGUCCCCUUGUGAGGCUGGGCAUGGUGAGCCCACGCUCCUGUGCUCCCAUAUCCAGCCAGAUCCAGCCAGAGUGCCUGCUGUGAGCUGGACUGUCCCCAUGGCUCAUUUAAUUGUUGCCCUGCCUGCAAUAACUGGCAUGGGUCAAUCUCCCAUCCUACUACAUAAAAGGAGGCAAAGUUCACCAGUGCAGUGCUCCCAUUCUGAAAUAGAACCUUCUUCUCAGGUGCAAAUCCACACUAUGAAAAUGGAUGUUAUGAAAGUGUCAGCUUUGAGGUGGGGACAGUCCCACAGCAUGGGCUGUCAUCUGGCAGGGGCUUCAAUCUCCAAGAAAUACCGAGGAUCUCACACAAGCUCACACAGGAGCCACCAGGACCAGCUUUCAGCAUUUUAUGAUCUUCACAUCUGGCCUGUGGGACACGUGUUGGUGGACUAAGUGCCAAAGCCAAAGAGGAGGAAAGAUGAUGCCUUGGGGUGCUGGAGG